rnacentral:sRNA from 1 species
UAUGUACACGUAAAUACAUAUACACAUAAUAUAUAUAAUAUAGAUAGAUAGAUGUGGGUGUUCAAACCUCUACACAUAUGUACGAGAGUCCAAAUAACUAAAAAUAGACUGACAAGCAGUAUUCAACGACCUUUAUGCUCAAGGAACGCAUAAUAUCAUCGGAAGUGAUCAAAAGACAAAAUGUUGAACGAGACAAAGAUUA